rnacentral:hammerhead_ribozyme from 1 species
AUCCAGGUGAUGAGUCCCAGCUGGGAUGAAACGCGUGUCCUGGAU